UACGUAGGUGGCAAGCGUUGUCCGGAAUUAUUGGGCGUAAAGCGCGCGCAGGCGGCUUCUUAAGUCUGAUGUGAAAAUCUCGGGGCUCAACCCCCGAGCGGCCAUUGGAAAACUGGGGAAGCUUGAGUACAGAAGAGGAGAGUGGAAUUCCACGUGUAGCGGUGAAAAUGCGUAGAUAUGUGGGAGGAACACCAGUGGCGAAAGGCGACUCUCUGGUCUGUAACUGACGCUGAGGCGCGAAAAGCGUGGGGGAGCAAACAGG
rnacentral:rRNA from 1 species